GGGGAUGGGGCUGGGGCAUGAGCAGUGACCCUCAGGUCCUGUGCCCCUUCCCAGU
rnacentral:precursor_RNA from 1 species